AUGAUAGAGGAGCGGAAAAUGAAGAGUAUGCUUUUGAGCGGGCCGGCGAUGACGGAGCAGAAAGGCAUUUCCGCCGAAGUGAAAAUCCCUGGCUGGGGUUUUUGCUGGUUUGGCUUUGAAGAGGAGUCAAACUGUCAUCCAAGACCGGAUGGAGUGCUAUCUU
rnacentral:ncRNA from 1 species